UCCAGCAUUGUCUCUUGAUACCCCCUCGCCUGUGAGAAAAACAGCCAGCAGCACAGGGGUCCGCUGGGUGGACGGCCCCUUGAGGAGCACCCAGAGGAGCCUUGGGGAACCAUUUGAGAUCAAAGUCUAUGAGAUUGAUGACGUUGAGCGUCUACAGCGACGUCGGGGAGCUACCAGCAAGGUGAGGCCACGUUCCCCCGAGGGCCAUAGUUCCCCACAAGUCCCGCCCUAAGAAUAGAACUUCCAGAGAGCCUUCCCAGGUUCUGGGACAGGCAGUGGGUGGUGGCAGGGCUCUGGUCCCAGCCACAGACUUUGGUAGAUCCUGCGUGCUCAUUUUCUGGAACACCUUAAAAGCUGGUGAUACGCUGAGGGACCUUUCUGGCUCCCAGUUCUGAGGUUUCACA
rnacentral:lncRNA from 1 species